GCCGGGCAUGAUGUCAUGUGCCUGUAAUCCCAGCUACUCAGGAGGCUGAGGUGGGAGGAUCGCUUGAGUGCAGGAGUUUGGGGCUGCAGUGAGCUACUACUGGGCCACUGCACUCCAGCCAGGAUGACAGAGUGAGACCCUGUCUCUU
ensembl:misc_RNA Metazoa_SRP Metazoan signal recognition particle RNA